CUAGGGGUAUGGCUCAGUUGGUAGAGGGCUUGCCUUGCAUGUGCUACACCCUGGGUUCAAUCCCCAGCCCUACA
rnacentral:tRNA from 1 species